rnacentral:lncRNA from 1 species
UUAUCACAAUCCCCUCGUUUCCUCAUCUCAGCCAAACAGACUCUUCACCCUCGGCGGGGGCGUAAUGAAGUUCGGGAAAAGCCUCAGCAACCAGAUCGACGAGACUCUCCCUGAAUGGAGAGACAAAUUCCUCUCCUAUAAGGACCUCAAGAAGAGAUUGAAGCUCAUCGGUGGAACAGACAGGCCGCCUGCCAAGCGUCCUAGAUUGGACGCCGCCGAUGAUUGCUCCGCCGCCUUCAUGCCGGAGGGGGAGGUGGUUUUCACUCACAUGUUUAUAGACGAGCUCGAGACAUGCACCGCGUGGUCGAAAAGCCUCAGCAACCAGAUCGACGAGACUCUCCCUGAAUGGAGAGACAAAUUCCUCUCCUAUAAGGACCUCAAGAAGAGAUUGAAGCUCAUCGGUGGAACAGACAGGCCGCCUGCCAAGCGUCCUAGAUUGGACGCCGCCGAUGAUUGCUCCGCCGCCUUCAUGACGGAGGAGGAGAUCGAUUUCAUUAACCUGUUAGAAGACGAGCUCGAGAAAUU